GUGAUCGUCCUCAUUCCAAAGGGUGAUGAUCCGCAGUCAAUCAAGGAUUAUAGGCCGAUCAGUCUGUGCAACGUCAUUUACAAGGUGGUGCCAAAAUGCCUUGUCAACAGACUUAGGCCCAUCUUGGAUGAGAUUAUAUCCGAGACGCAAAGUGCCUUUAUCCCGGGAAGAAUGAUCACUGACAACGCCAUCAUU
rnacentral:rRNA from 1 species